ACGAGUCUCAAAUUGACAGGAA
rnacentral:miRNA from 1 species